rnacentral:lncRNA from 1 species
AAACACCUUUCCUGGGAACAGAGCUGACAAACCUUCUGUGGUAAAGGGUGAACAUCCUUGGGAAGCCACAGAGAGCAAGGCACAGUUUUUCGUUGAUCACCACCUUCAAGAUGCUCCCAGAAUCGUGCUGUCUAGGAAGCCAUUUAAACUGGUGAGAAGCCAUCCUCUCUUGAAUGCGGGCUCCCACUGUACAUCUGGCACCCACUUCACAGGGGGGAUGGUGGAACAUGCUGACUGGUCUGGGCCAGUCAUGAUCCAUGAACUAGAAGACGCUUUCUCAUAACUCAGAGAAAAGAGAUGAAAAUGAAUCAAAGAACAGGAAGGAGACAAGUUCAGGAGAGUCACAUUAAGAAGGAUGUGUGGAAGACUUGACGGAUUGGAGGAUCAAAAUGUGUUGAGGGAAGGUGUAAAAGGAGGAGUAAGGACACAGAUGCCCUGACUUCACACAGUGAGGGAUUAGAAGCCGCCAUCAAACACGGAUGAAACGGAAAUAAAAGUAGUAGUACAUUACUUAAGCUUUACAAGGGUAAGACUCCUGGGAAUUUGGAAGCUGAGAUUUGAGGAGCAGAGGCAUUUAGCUGUGUAAACACAGAGCUUGAGUGGCAGCACCCUAAAUGCUUAGCUGAUAGAUCUGGAAUUAAAUACAGACCCAGAAACUGGAGUUGGAAAACUUCCUGGCAGCACUCCUUCCCUGCCAUCCCAGCAAUCCCCUUCCGGAUGGAGGGCGUGGAGCUCAGUACAUUCACGUCUGCAGUUCUCAGAGAACCAAGUGUUAAGGAAUGUCAGGGAAGGAAGAAGGCAGCCAGCCAGGAAGGGGAGGUCCUGGCCUGAGCACGCCAGGCAUGGAGGGAUAGAGGGUGGCGAGGAAACUUCACCUGUCCCCAACCUCCGACCCCGGCCCCGAAACAUGACAUUGGCUGAAACAGAUUAAAAGCAUAAAAUGGCACAAAGAAAUGGGAGAAGGUUGGCCUCUGGUGGGGCAAACAUGAGGGCAUGAAGAUGUAUAAUGUCCCACAUGGGAGGAAGCCCUUACCAGGCCCCUCAGGAUUUAUAACAAGCUCACCUGAAGGAGAAACUUCAGGGGCACUUACACCAUCAGAUACCUAGAAAGGAGCUGUCAUUUCCUCACCGAGGAGUUUGCAAGCAGAUGGUAAAAGGGGUUUAAUUUGAAAACACUGAAACAUUGUGUACGCUCAAAACCAUGACAAUUGCAGUUUUAUUGUCUCCACUCAGGAAAAUGUGUGUCUGGAUCAUCUUGUGGCCUGAAUGGGGAGAAAAGCACUAUUCACAAUAGCAAAGAUAUGGAAUCAACCUAAGUGUCCACAGCAGAAGAAUGAAUAAAGAGGACGUGAUGCAGUGUUCCAAAGCAGGAGAUUCACUGAAAAAGAUGUUUAAGAAGUUGCUGAUGAAGAAAAGUUCAGGAUUCACAGCUCCAUCCAAAGGGAAUAGCCACUUUUCUCAUUUUUAGAUAUGACUACUAACAAGUAUUAUCCUGCGUCUUCAGCCAGGCUGUGGAAGGCCCCAUUCUUUCUGUAACACAGAUGUUCAAUUGGAAUUUUCC